CAUUAAACAGAAACUGAAAAAUCAGUUUCGUAGCUAAAAUAUCAUUUUGGAGGCAAAACACUUAGCAAAAUUUUAUUUUUCCGCCACUUAAACAAAAUUCUUAUUUUCUAUUUGUAAAGAAAAAAAAGUCAUUCAUCCCUCUUCUCUAUCAAUGGAAACUCCAAACCCGAGUUACUAUUACCUCAAUCCCACCCAUGGUAUCUCAAUCUGAACCAUGACUGCUCAAGCCGCGACACCACCUGGUCCUCUGCUCGUUCCACGCCGUGAUUACUCUGAGUUGUCCCAUCUUCUCCUUCCCCGUGGCUGACUUCAUCCCCUCGACGAUUCACGCCUUCGUCAUCUCAACCGUCGCAAUUCUCAGCUAAAGGUAAUGCUCAUCUCGACCUCCAAUCGUCAUCUGCUAUCCCUCUGCCGUCAUCGUUGGGCUCCAGAUCCAGCAAGAGAAAGCUUUGAUCCUCUCCAAUGGUGGAUUUUUAGGUAUUUGCAAGACGGGUCCCUCAACUUCUGCUUGUGUUUUCUGAUCUUUGUUUCCAUAGCAGCCUGAGUUUGAAGAUGGUUUUAACGAUGAGUUUAAGCAAAUAUUUGAGAAUUUUAACUUCAGGGAACUUGAUUCCUUUGAGGGAACAAAUUUAUAGAUGAAUCUUAUAGCUUGAAUGUUAAGCACAAGUCACAUAAACCCAGAUUUGGAAUACUGCUGGUGAAGAAAGGUUUCUUCUCGAUCUGUGUUCUUUACUUCUUGGCGGAUCCUCGAGAACUGAAUUAAAAGUUUAAAUCUUUUGCUGUAGAUUGGUAGAGAACUCUUGCAUUCAUGUGUUUGUUGUUCUGUGUGAAGAGCUUAAGCAAGCUUUAGAUCUGUAUUUGUAGAUCUUAUAGCCAUGAAUAUGAUAUAAAGUUUUCAUUUUUAUUGAUUACUUUGACCAAUCAAUGCUUAAUACAUUGUUAGUAGACAAAAUUAUUGUGUUGGAGUCUCUGUUUCGGUUAUGGUUCUUGUUAUGCUUAUGUGAUUCAGUAACUACAAGUGUGGCGGAGAAGUAGAUACAAGCAAGCUGUUAUAAGCUCAAGGCAGAGUUUGAUCUUUACUCGUGUUUUAUAAAGAACAUAGCUUGCACUCUAAUCAAACCACAUGACUCGACCAAACAGAAAAAAAGAAAGAAAGAAAGUAAAAUUUGAAGAAAAGGAAAGAAGAAGAAAGGAAAAACUUUGAUUUAUGAAGUGCUCAAGGGGAAAAGAGAAGUUGGUUUCUUGUGUUCUUCUGUGUCAAGCUUUGAUCUGAGUUAAGUGAGUUUCGGUUUGGAUUAGAUGGUGAAGAAAACAGAGUAAUAUGAUGUGCUCGGCGUUAGCCCAACUGCUAAUGAGUCUGACUGUCUGAGAUCGAGACAAAUCUAUGGUUAUAUGUUCUUUUAUGGAGUUUGUGUGUUUCAUGUACUGAUUUUGUAUGUUUUGAAUCUUUGAUGGAUAUUCUAAACCCAAAAUUUAAAAUUAAAAUUAAACUCAA